UACCUAUCAUUUUAUGAAAUUUAAAUAAUUUCAUUUUUUGGACUCGGAUUGUGAUCCCGAACUGAAAUUGAGCAGUUACAUUUUUUAUUCACAUCAAGAAUGAAACUAAAGAAAAAUUUAUACUUUUUUUAUUGAUUUAUUUAUUUUUAAUUAUUUUUUUGCUGUAGAGCUACCACUAGAUUGAAUAUCAGUGUCACACCAACACAAGCUAACAAUGUUAGUGGAGAGGUACCACCAACCAAUGUAGUGUCACACCAACACAAACUAACAAUGUUAGUAGAAAAGUACCACCGACUAAUGUGACAGAAUACAAAUUUAGGUACCAACUAAGUAUUUUUGUACAAGUUUAAAGGAAAAAUUACAUAUUAACCCUGUAGAAGGCCCAUUUCGCCCAGGCCUUUAGAUCUAUUUACAACAAAGGAAUAAACUAAAAAUAAAAACCAAAAUAUAAAUUAUAAACCAAAAAUAAAAAUUAAAAUUGUUUACAGUCCAUAAAUACAAACCUAAAUAUAAAUUGAAGCCCAAAUUAUAAAACCCACUUCACAAAUAAGACUAAGGCCUGUCCUAGCCCUAAAUACAAAUUCCUAACCCAAUUGAAACCCGACCCAGUUACUGAGAACCUAAAACAGACCCAAUUCCAGAGGCCCAAAGGCAGAUUGGCCCAGGUAGCCUGGGCAGGUGAUGUUUCUGGAAACUCAGGGUUCCCUCGUGCUGCAGUGCCCACGCCUGGCUUCCUCCGUACGACCAUCUCCGCGAUAGAACCUGCGAGAAGAAACAGCUAAGCAAUACCAAUAACAAAAUACAAAAUAGCCAGCAAAUGUAUAGCAAAAUCGAAUGCUUUUUUAUAUUUUUCUUCUAUUAUUUAUUCUAUAAAUCGGCUAUAAAAAGGGGCCGAAUGUAAUUUAUAAAAGUCUCUAGACUUUUUCGAAUACAAAGCAAACAAAGAAAUUACUCAAAGUUAAAAGGUGAUUUUCGAUUGAUUUUAUUUUUGAAGUUCUUUUAUUUUAUUUUGGUGUGUAAAAGUAAUAAGAAAGGGAAGAAAUCGCUCGCCUGAAUCCUCUCAAUCGCGUCGUCGGAGGGCCUUCUCCGUCGCUGCAAUCGGAUUUGACAAAAGGACGGAGAGCCUUCUUCCUCUGUUUCUUUAGUUGCCGAAGGUCUAGCCUUCAAAAGGGCUUCAAAAGGAGGGCUGAAAAGCUCAUUUUCCACAACAGCGGCCACUGGCCACGACGGCAGUUGAGGGUAUGGAUGGUGGCCCUUUCGGCUGGAAGAAAAGGGGAGGAGAUGGGAGAGUUUUAAAGUUUUAGUUUUUUUUUUUUUUUAGAAACAAGGGUUAAAAUGAUUUUAAAACAAAAAUUUCGAUUUAAGUAGUAAAGGGAAAAAGGCGCCGUUUAGAAGGGUAUUCUCAAAGGCCAAAACGACACCGUUUUGAGCCUCUAACCCGUGACCCAACCCGAUCGCCCUCAGGAUCCGCUUGUUUUUGCAGUGAAGGGAUAUUUGCGCACUUAGCCCCUCCGUUUCGUGCUGUCAUUUGAUUAAACCGUAUUUAUAUAUAUUUUUUUAAUGUUUCCCCAAGAUUUGUGCACUAUUUUAAUUUAGUACGUAUUUAAACGCUGCGUUCAAGA
rnacentral:lncRNA from 1 species